CUGCGUGCAGCCCUUGGUUGAUUCACAGGCACAGGCUGGAGAAGGUGCCACAGGCCGCAGAACCGGAACUGACAGAGGGUCCAGGAGUCAGUUGUGGAGCUGGUCAAAUAAGAGCCCUAAACUAAUUCGCAAGGAGUCAACCACAGAAACCUGGGUUUGAGGUUCAGACACGACCAUGUGUGAAUGAAGUAACUGCCCAUAGGAAGGUUCGAGUUCAUCAGACUCAGGAAGCAAGCUGCCAUGUUGUGACCAACAUGAAGCCCCAACUCCCUGGCUAGCCACUUGUGAGGAACUGAUGGUGUCUACCUGUGACCACGUGUGCUCCAUUCUCUCAAACUGGAAGCCACUAGAAAACACUAAUCAGGUCAUAUCAUUUCUGGGACCUCAGUGCCUGGCUGAAUAGUUUUCAACAUAGCUACUCAUACUAAAAACAACAACAACAACAACAACAACAACAAGUUGAUUAAAUGGAAGAAGGUCUGGAUUCAAAUCCUACUCUAAAUUCUUUCAUGACAAGACUUCUGGGCCUCCUUUUUCUUACUUAUAAAAGAAGAGCUUUUUUUUAAAUGUUUAUUUAUUUUGAGACAGAGAAAGAGAGAAAGAAAAAAAAAAUCCCAAGUAGGCUCUGCCCUGUAAGUGCAGAGCCCGAAGCAGGGCUCCAUCCCAAGGACCAUGACGUCAUAACCUGAACCAAAAUCAAGAGUCGGACGCUCAACCCGCUACUGAAGUGACCCAGGCACCCCAGGAAAGGUUUUGUUUUGUUUUAAAUCUGCUUUUGAGGAUUUCAGUGGAAAAUGAAUAUGUUAAAGUACUUAGAAUUUCCUGGCACAUAGUAGGUUCAUAAGAAAUUUUAGUUCUGCUCCUUCCUUUUACUCAAAAUGGCAAGAAUCUCUCAGUCGUGCUGAAGCCCUGGGUGGCCUUGGUGCUGUCUCUUGUUCAGAAAGUCGCUCUAAGUCCCAAGGGGCAUGUGAGUGGAGGCAGCAGAUGAUAUGUGUAUGAGGUACAGAAGAAGCCAGCUCUGACUGAACCCACCUCCUUCCAUUCUUUCCUCCUUCCUGCCCAUUCCUGCUGUCUACCUUCCUCCCAACUGGUUAUGUUAGCUUCUAUGUACCCAGCAUGAGGGACAUACUUCACCCUGGACCUGCGGGAGAAUUUGCAUCGGCUAUAUAUUUGGAUUAAGAGGGGGGUCAAAGUUAGGGUGCUCAGGUGGGGCUGGAAACAGUGGAAAACCAAGGUGCUUUUGGGCUAUAAACGGAAAUGGAUAGCGGGCUGGCCAUGGUGAGGUAGGUCACUUAGAGAUGUGAUCCCCUGGAGAGGCAGUUGCAGAAAUCAGCGGGGACCGAUUAGAAGGGAUUUAGGAUGCCAUGUUCAGCGGUUUGGACCCCGCCACAUGGCAAUCGGGGGAUCGUGACUGUUCGAGAUAGCGGAGGUGGAAGGACGGAAGGGGACACUGGACCAGCAGAGGGAGAGAGGCUGUGGGUAUUCGUCAAAGCAUGGAUACCAGCACAGCUUUAUUUUCAUCUUUCAAGAACACUGAGUUUGAUGUUUUUCUCAGCUUGGGUAGCUGUAACAAAAUACCGCAGGCUGGGUGACUUAAACAGCAGACAUUCAUUUCUCGCAGUUCUGGAGCCUGGGAAGUCUACCUUCAGGGUACCAGAAUGGUUGGGUUCUGGGGAGACCUCCCCUCCUGGUUUAUGCACAGCUGGUCACCUUUUCGCUGUGUCCACACAUGGUCUUUCCUUGGCAUAUGCGUAUGGAGAGACCUCUCUCUCUCUCUCUCUCUCUCUCUCUCUUCCCCUUCCUCUUCCUCUUCCUCUAAGGGCAUUCAAUAAUUCCAUGAGGAUCCCAACUUCAUGGUCUCAUUUAGAUCUAAAUACGUCUCCAAAAACUCAUCUCCAAAUAUUAUUACAUUGCAUGUUAGGGCUUCAACAUACGGGUGUUGGGUGGGU